rnacentral:misc_RNA from 1 species
CCUCGCUACCUCGGGAGGAUGUGACGUAAGAGCUUCCGUCAACAUGGCGGCAAAACCAAACGCUGCUAGACAAGUCUGAACGCAUAUGCCCCUGUUGACAUCGGUGCUUGUGCAUCGUAUUCUUUGAAUUUAAAAUGGCUCACCUGUGGCAGCAACCUUAUGUGAACGUUUUUAAGCAUUUCAAUGUAUCAUCAUGGAAGAAAGCAUUGAAAGAAGGGGAUGUGAGCACCUUGAUGGACAAAACAGUGAAGGCAACGGUGUACAAGAUUAGUGGACACAUACCAGCUGGUAACUAUAUUCAGCUGCCACGCAUGAGUUCACAGUCCCUGGGAUUGACAGGUCGUUAUUUUUACCUGCUGUUUCGUCCAGUGCCAACAAAAUACUUUGUAGUCCACGUUGAUGUUGCAACUCAGGAUGGCCUUGUUGUGCGUCUCUCAUUUUCUAACCUCUUCAAGGAGUUCAAAUCCACAGCUACGUGGCUUCAGUUUCCAUUUUUGUGCAAUCCAGCGAAGGAUUCUGUAGCUUUCUUUGCUGCUGUUGGUGCACGAGAACAUAUUGGACCAGCCCCAUCUUCAACAAGGUGGACAGUCUUGUGCUUGGAUUUACAGUACAUCCUUUCCACAUACCUGAGUCGGAGGUACUCCUACGUCAGAAGUAUCCGACUGUGUGCCAACAUGCUAGUUAAAAAUGUUUUCACCAGUGAUAUUGUUUAUGAUCCAGAUAUCUCUAUGGCUGAUGCCAAGAAGAGAGGUGGUAAUGUCUCACCACUGCCAAGAGAUUUUGGCUUUCCUGUUCAGAAGGGAGAGACUUGGCAUGAUAUAUAUGACCUGAUUAGGUUUCCACCUGAAGGUGACAGAAAACCUUUUGAUUCUGUACAGUAUACUGUCGGUGGCAUCGAUGACAACGUAGAUGAGAACAUUGAAAACCACCCACAAAGAAUCAGACCACACCCACAGAAUGUUAGUAAAUGUGUAUCAGAACGAGUUUCAAUGAUACACAAGUUAACUGAACCAAAACAGUAUCACAGGAAGCAGCUUGUUACAAAAGAAUUGCCAGAGAUUGAGGCUGAUGCCUUGACAGUGCCAGACCCGUCAAAUGUGCACAUAUUUGCACAUCCCAUUGACUUAGAGGAUGAGGCACUGGCAAGUUCAAAAGGGCCAAAGAAAAGUACACAUAAGGUUUCAGCUCAUUUGCAUCUGACUAUGGGAAAAACAAAGUGCAAGGUUUUGGAGCCAGACCCAAUUAUAACAUUGAAGCAUAUUAUUGGAUUUGGCGGCGGCACAUUCCGAGAUGCUCUGUGGAGUAGUGACCGAUCGACUGUCAUCUAUCCAUGCCAUGCAGUAAUAGUGGCCAUGCGCAUAAGCAAUGGCCAUCAACGCUUCUUCAUUGGACACACUGGCAAGGUAUCUUGCCUGUCGAUGAAUAGCAGUGGCACACUAUUGGCCUCAGGACAAACAGGACAGAUGGGUGUUGUUCGGGUGUGGAAGUAUCAAGGCUGUGAAUGCCUGGCCAUCUGCAGAACACAUGCUAAUUCUCUCUACUGCCUCAGUUUUUCAUGUAGUGGAAAUGUUUUGUGUGGAGUGGGAAAAGACAGUCAUGGAAAAAAUUUAGUGGUGAUUUGGAACACGAGCUCUGUGUUGAAGAAGCGGGAGAUCAGCAUUGUAGCCAAGGCUCAUACAGAUGUUGAUGUUUCAAAAAUCACCAUCUCACCAUUCGAUGAGACCAGGAUGGUAUCGUGUGGACGAGAUAACAUAAGACUUUGGCGGGUCAAGGAUGGUACAUUGCGUUCAGCACCCAUUAGUCUGGGAGACCACCACUCCAUGGAUUUCACAGAUGUUUGUUUUGACACAGGGGUCCAAGCUAACCAAAACCCUGAAAGGAGACUUAUUUAUGCCUGCUGUCGGUCAGGCCAUGUGUUUGAAAUUGACUACCAAAAAAUGGCUGUGCUACAUGUUCGACGAUUGCUACCCACAGCUACUAAGAAGAAAGAUCAAGCAAGCAACAAAGCAGAUUCUUUGCAGAGAGGAUUGGUUAUUAACAGCAUUAGCAUCAGUGAGACAUUCUGUGUCACUGGCUCAGAUGAUGGAUUUCUGCGGUUAUGGCCACUGGAUUUUGCACAUGUUUACCUCGAAGCUGAGCAUGAUGGAGCAGUGACAUCAGUUAACUUGUCUGCUGAUGGCCUAAAAAUAUUAGCUGGCACUUCUACAGGUAAUCUGGGCAUACUAGAUGUUGCGACACGAGACUACACGACCAUCAUGCGUUCACACACAUCCCGCAUCAUGAGUGCUGCGAUGGAUCCAUUUAGCAAGCAUUUAGCCACAGUGUCAAAAGAUCAUAGCAUUCGAGUCUGGGAUGCUGAAACUUUUCAGCAGCUGUAUGACUUUAGUGCUCCAAAUGAGUCACCAAGCACCAUAAGUUAUCACCCCAUCAACCAGAUAUUUGCCUGUGGCUUUGAAAGUGGGGCAGUACGUGUCUUUGAUGUGGAGUCUACCUGCCUCAUAGCAGAACACAAACCACACCGAGGGGCAUUGACAGGUGUUGUCUUCUCUCCUAAUGGGGAAUAUCUGUACAGUGCAUGCUCUCAGGGCAUGCUGGCGGCAUAUUGUGCUGCUGAUUCCAAGUUCUCCAUCAUCAGAGUGCUGGCCAAUACAGUAGCCAGGGGAAUGCACUUUGCCCCUGAUGCCUUAGCAGUCAGCAGCUGUGGGAGAAAACUGGCCUUUGUGGGUCCUUCUGAUUUCAUUGUGACAGUCAUGGAUGCUAAAUAUCUCAGUGAGCUGCUGCGAGUGGACAUUACUAGCAUGGCAUCAGGUGAUGUGGGACAAGGGGGUCUUGACACUGCUGUACGAGUAAUGUUCACUCCAGCCAGCGUUGGUCAUCUGCUGGUGGCAACCUCUUCAAACCGACUUGUCAAACUUGAUGCAGCCAGCGGUAAACUUUUUGCUGAGGUGAACAAUAUUCACAGAUCUGGCUGCAGUUCAUUAGCAAUAUCAUGCAAUGGAAAUUAUCUGGUUACUUCUGGAGAUAAAGUGCUCAAAGUCUGGGAUUACCACAUGCACCUGGACAUUAAUUUUCAGGUUUUCAUUGGCCAUUCAGAGACUGCAUCCAAAGUGUUUUUCACACCAGAUGAACGCUCCAUCAUAAGCGCAGGGGAAGCUGUAUACAUUUGGAAUAACCUGGCUGUCCGACCAGUGACAUCACAUGAAGACUGGAAGAUUGAUGCUGAUAAAAUGUCUGCCUUAGAUGCCAUGUUUGUGGACAACACAUCAACUGACAUGCCAAGGCAUACUCCACCACGUCCCAUGCUAGCUCCCAGCCUGUCUACUCGCAUUGAGGAUCUCAGCUCCAUACAUGGUGGUGACCUAGAUCUUAAGUCCUUGCUGUCAGAAGAAGACAUGCCAAUGGGGUCACCUGAUGCUGGCAAAGUUGGAUGGGAAGGCAGUUCACAAAAUGUUCCACUUAGUCAUGAGAAGAAUUAUGUUUUUGAAUCCCCUGUGAAGGAUACAUUGAAUGAAUGUGCACAGAAGUUUGGAGAAGUGUCGCUGAACAGAGUCAAAAGCACUAAGUUUGAGAAACACUCACCACAUAAGCCAAAGACACAAACCAGUCAUGUACGAACUUUGGAAGAGAAGCCACAGAAGGUCACUACCAUGGAAAAAACCCCAGAAGCCAUAGCUCCAUCAUGCAGCAGGCAUUUCAAGGCCACAAUUAAGAGUCAUGCCAUGGCCCGGCGUCGGUACACAGCUCCCCCUCAUCAAGCUGGUCUACGACUUAGCUUUGUCAUUGGCUACAAUGGAAAUGGGCGUGACAACAUGAUUUGGUGUCCAGACACAGGUCUCUUUGCCUACACCAGUGGCAGUAUUGUUGUGGUUGAAGAUUUGAACACAGGCCAGCAGACACACCUCCAAGGUCACCAAGAGGAAGUGUCCACACUGGCUGUACAAAAUGAUUGUCGGGUAAUAGCAUCCGCUAGUGGAUCCUUUGGUCAGUUUAGCAGCUGUCAGGUGUGUGUGUGGGAUGUAGCAGAUGCUGUCUGCAAAAAGGUCCUUAAUCCCCACCAUCAUCAGGUUGUCUGCAUGGCAUACUCUCGAGAUGACCGAUUUCUACUGACUGUUGGCGACUAUCAUGAAAGCAAGGUGAUAGUUUGGUCCACACAUACAUACACCAUGCUUACCAGCUCAAAGACAGCUGCACCUAUCCACUGCAUCAAAUGGGAUCCGACUGCAGUGAACGAAUUUGCCACUGUGGGAGAAGAUGGCAGCCUCUGCUUUUGGUUGUUGGAUGAAACGGACAGUGAGGCAGGGCUGUCUGUCCAUGAGGCUGAGGUUCCAGAUGAGUUGCUGAAUCAGGAGAUGGAUGGAGAAGUGGCUUUUACAAACUUGGAGUAUACAUGUGACAGUACUUUGUUUGUGUCUGCAACGAAUGGCAAAGUGUCAGCCUGGGACACCCGACACAAUUCCUGCUAUAUGCACUGGGAUGCGGAUACAGCUGAAAUAGGCAUUCUGUUAGUUGGGACAGGGGGUCUAAUAACAGCCAGCAGUUCGGGGAAUGUUCGGUUAUGGUCAGUGAAGGGAGUAGAGCAGAUGAGAGAGCCUGGACAUGCUGGACGGGCACCUGCGGGCAGAGGGCUAGUAAUGGAGGAUGAAAUGACGCUGGAUGGGGUGGUGACAGCUGCUCGCUUUGAUGAGAAUCUGGAAAUGGGCAUUGUUGGCACCAGUGCUGGGACACUGUGGUACAUCAACUGGACGGAGCGCACAAGCAUAAGGCUCAUCUCAGGACAUGGAAAGAAGGUAACAGCAAUUGCCAUGACAACAGGUGGACUGAUGGCUACUGGCUCUGAAGAUGGCAGCUUGCGAGUGUGGGUUUUACAAAAUAAAGAGCAGGCCUUGCAGUUCCAGGUGAAAGACCAGAAAUGCAGCAGUGUUGCCUUUGCUCCUGCCAUUCAGCAGCACGCAAAAUUCCAAAACAGUGCUGAUGCUACAGCUCAGGGUCAAGUGGUUCCACCCUUGGCAGCUGGGUACUCGGAUGGUACUGUGCGGGUGUUUGAUGUCAACUCUGUUCAGAUGCAGCUGAAAUUAAGACCUCAUUCUGCAGCUGUUACUGUCAUCAGGUUUUCCUCAGAUGGAAGCUUGAUCCUGUCAGGAGCUAGUGAUGGGUUAAUUGCCAUCAGCAGCCCCACAAGCGGGAUGACUGUGCGGGUCAUUAGUGAUCACCAAGGAGCUCCUAUCACCGACAUUGAUGUUGCUCCCUUGCAGAUCGAUGAUGGAGAUCACAAGUUUCAAUCAGCUCAGCUGUGGCUGGCUUGCAGUGGGGACCGAAGGGUCAGCAUCUGGUCAUCUGAUUGGGGUCGUGAUGUGUGUGACCCCAUAGACUGGUUGACUUUUCCUGCACCUGCCUGCACGCCAGAGGGAGAGCCAAUCAAAGGCAAAACUCCGGUUCUCACCUGAGGAACCAGACAUCAUAGUAUACACUGGCUAUGGCAUGAACAAAGGCAUACAGUUCUACAGUCUUUCUCAUCGCAGGGUAAUGAGAACAAUGUCACUGACUCACUGGGCUUGUUGCUUCGAUCUGUCUCCUGUUAGCCCUCUCAUCGCUGUUGGUGUUCGUG